GUUGAUCCUGCUGGAGAAUGCCGCUAUUGGAGUUCGACUAAGCCAUGCAAGUCAGGGUACCUCGAGUGCCCGGCGAACGGCUCAGUAACACGUGGACAAUCUACCCUGUGGUAGCGGAUAACCUCGGAAAACUGAGGGUAUACGUUAUGGGAAACAGAUACUGGAAAGUUCUAUUUCUGAAAGCCUUCGGGCGCCAUAGGAUGAGUCUGCGGCAGAUUAGGCAGUUGGCGAGGUAAAGGCUCACCAAACCUAAGAUCUGUACGGGCUGUGAGAGCAGUAGCCCGGAGAAUGGUACUGAGAUAAGGACCAUAGCCCUACGGGGUGCAGCAGGCGCGAAACCUCUACAAUGCACGAAAGUGUGAUAGGGGGACUCCAAGUGCUUAUUUGCGUAAGCUUUUGUCUAGUUUAAAAAGCUGGAUGAAUAAGGGCUGGGAAAGACCCGUGCCAGCCGCCGCGGUAAUACGGGCAGCUCUAGUGGUGUUCACGCAUAUUGGGCUUAAAGCGUCUGUAGCCGGUCCCACAAGUCUUUGGUGAAAGCUUGCAGCUUAACUGUGAGAGUUGCCAGAGAUACUGUUGGACUCGGAGCCGGGAUGGGUAGGAGGUAUUCUCGGGGUAGGAGUAAAAUCCUGUAAUCCCGAGAGGACCAACGGUGGCGAAGGCGUCCUACUGGAACGGGCUCGACGGUGAGAGACGAAAGCUAGGGGAGCGACCCGGAUUAGAUACCCGGUUAGUCCUAGCCGUAAAUGAUGUCAGCUUGGUGUGGCAUAACCUACGUGGUUGUGCGGUGCCGUAGGGAAACCGUUAAGCUGACCGCCUGGGAAGUACGGUCGCAAGGCUGAAACUUAAAGGAAUUGGCGGGGGAGUACUACAAGAGGUGGAGGCUGCGGUUUAAUCGGAUACAACGCCGAACAACUCACCAGAGAAGACAGCAGUAUGAUGGUCAGUCCGAAGGGCUUACUUGACGCGCUGAGAGCUGGUGCAUGGCCACCGUCAGCUCGUGCCGUGAGGUGUCCUGUUAAGUCAGGUAACGAGCGAGACCCAUACUUUCAGUUGCAACCCUUUUUCUUCGGAAGAGGGGGCACUCUGAAGGGACUGCCGGUGCUAAAUCGGAGGAAGGAGUGGGCGACGGUAGGUCCGUAUGCCGCGAAUUUUCUGGGCUACACGCGGCCUACAAUGCCAUAGACAAUAGGAUGCGACUCCGAAAGGAGAAGCCAAACCCGUAAACUAUGGCUCAGUUCGGAUCGAGGGUUGGGACUCACCCUCGUGAAGAUGGAAUCUCUAGUAAUCGCGUAUCAUUAUUGCGCGGUGAAUACGUCCCUUCUCCUUGCACACACCGCCCGUCAAACCACCCGAGUGAGGCCUGGACGAGGCGCGAUCCUUUGGGUUGUGUCGAAUCUGAGCUUUGUGAGGGGGGUUAAGUCGUAAAAAGGUA
rnacentral:rRNA from 1 species